CUCCUGCAUGGCUUCACCUGGACCAAACCGGCUCGGGUGUCGACCAUCAAUCUCAGCGAGUCCAAGCACGACCUCUUCAUAGAGAAGCCGUUAGUGCUACAUGCUGAGCCACGUCUUCCAGUGCACCUCUACCCUCUCAUGCAUUGUUGAGCAAAUAACGAGCUAUGAAUCAUCGAUAUGGCGAGUAUGCUAGCUAUUUUUUGAUGAAUCUAUAUUUACUAAUAAAGGAAGGAAAUAUUCUUUUUUUCAUCCCGCUUUGUUUCGUUCCACUUCGAUUGAUUUUCACAUAUGCUAGCUAUUUUGGUUUUGUCUGUUUCACGUACGAGCGAGCCGGUUUCUUUCAUGCACCGCUGGAUCGUCCUAGGCUUGUCCAAAGCAUUGGAACAUUACGUGAUAGGCAAAAAACCACCCAUCUAGUAUUAAUUUUGAACAAAUAGAGAUUAAAUGUAUACAGGAUGAUGCUCUUUACAUCACCAACGAAAUAAAGACAUGAUUAAACUUGCAAACUCAUGCUGAUGUGGAUGGUGCAUAAUAAAAGGACUCGUGGGCUAAAUCAUUAUAAUUUACACCAAAGGCGAGAAGCAGAUGAGUGGGGUAGACCGAGGAGGCAUUUAAGGACGAGGAGGAACUCGCAAUUUCCACACUUAGCGCAUACGAACAGCUCGUCGCCACACUCACGAAACAUGAAAUCGUGGGUGAUGACACGCCGAGGUGUCCACCAAAGCCCUUGCCACCAGGGAGCUACCUCUCUCUCUAGGGAUCUUUUAUUUCUUGCAAUUAAUUUUGUUGAUAAAGACUAAUAUUUGUCCCGCGUUGCAACACACAGUCAUAUGUUCUAGUAAAUCAAAAGGAAAAAAGAAAGCUGAAAUAAAAAUCAAAAAUAAAAACCUCAAGGAAAAAAACCCAACAAAAAGCCCAAGAAAUACAGGAAUGGAAUCAAGCCAUGGAAGAAAAAACCAAAAAAUCGGCACAACAAAAGUCGAACCAAAUACAACGAAAGCAACAGAAUAAAAAGGGAGCAACUAGUUGACGAGGGCUCCUUCGGGAGCCUCACAACGAUCAGCGCCACUUGGCGCGCUUUAAGCCUCCUCGCCACGUGUCGUAGUAUUUUAAUUUUUUUGCAUGCGUUUUUGGCUUUUUAAAUGUUUUUUGUGGUUUUUUUACGUUUUGGUUUACCACAGCUUUUAGGCCAAAAAAAUCAAAAUUGCGCGAAAAAGAGUGUUUUUUUUCUUCGGCGAAAGGCAUGGUUUUGCUUCCGCGAGAGGCACGAUUGUGCUUCCGCGAGAGGCACGGUUUUGCUCCCGCGAGAGGCACGGUUGUGCUUUUGUGAGAGGCACAGUUUUUCUUCCACGAGAGGCACGGUUGUGCUUUCGUGAGAGGCACGGCCGUGCCUCUCGAAAACGAAAAAAACGCGUUUUUUUUCCUUCCGCGAGAGGCACGAUUUUGCUUCCGCAAGAGACACGGUUGUGAUUUUGCGAGAGGCACGGUCGUGCCUCUUUAGAAAAGGAAAAAUGCAUUUUUUGUUUUUUCCUUCUGUGAGAGGCACGAUUUUGCUUCCACGAGAGGCACGGUUGUGAUUCCACUAGAGGCACGACCAUGCCUCUUUCAAAAAGCGAAAAAAACCAUGCUCCUAGUUCGGUUUUUACAUCCAAUUUUUUCAUGAAAAAAAGUUCGUUAAAACCUAUCAACAUGGUAUCUAGUUUUUAAGAUCUCGACACGAGGAAUCGAAUGGUGAAAAUGUUUUGAGAUUUGGACACAUGGUUUAAGAGAUAAAAUGUUUUGAAUAAACGGAUCUACGAAAAAAAGAGAAAACUCACAUGUUGUGACAAAUGAUGCGUGCCAGUUGUCACAACUUGACACGAUAAACUAAAUUGGCAUUAAUGAUAGAGAUAGGGCAAGUGUCAUGUCUUUAUGUUCCUUCCAUGUUCAUGCUUCUUUUUUGGUGUUUCAAGUGCUAACUUGUUCUUUUGUUUGUAGGUCACAAUUGCAUAAAACUUAUUUCAAGGAGAAGAGAAGAAGACCAAGAAAGGGAAGGUCAAGAAAGGGAUACCAUUUGUGUUGGCCCAUUGCUACAAUGUGUUGAAGGAUGAAGAGAAAUGGAAGCCCCGUGAUGACCAAGAGGAGGGCAAGAAAAGCAAGGCAACUAUUGAUUUGGAUGAUGAUGAUGAGGAGGAGGCAUCAAGUGAUGGCGGCAAGAGAAGACCUACACCAAACUCGGUUGCCUACUCCAAACCAAAGAGACCAAAUGGAGGCAAGAAGAAGAAGAAGAAGAAGAAGAGAGGAGGUGAUGAUUUAAAGAAUGCUAUGGAAGCUAUUGUGAAGGCACAAUAGGAAGCAAACAAGGUGAAGAUGAUGACAAGGAGCCAAGAUGCGGAGGUGGCUGCCGAGGAGAGGAGGGUGGCUGCCGAGGAGAGGAAGGUGGCAUUGGAGGAGAAGAAAUUGGCCAUGGAGGAGCGAUCUAGAUUAUUGAAAUGGGAGAAGCACUUGUUCUUCAUGGACACAUCUAAACUCGAUGAUAGGCAAAAGGAGUACGUCAUUCUUUCCCCUGAAGAAGUCUUAGUCCAAAAAAGAGACAUGGCCAUGGAAGGCAUGGGAGCUACCAAUGGGAGGCAUGGGUGGCUUCGGAGCUACCAUGGAAGGCAUGGGAGCACCUAUGUGAGGCAUGGGUGGCUUCGGAGCUACCAUGGGCGGCUGGGAGGCAUGGGUGGCUUCGGAGCUAUCAUGGGAGGCACGGGUGGCUUCAGAGCUACCAUAGAAGGCAUGAGUUUUGGGUCUCUCGUGUGAGGCAUGUGAGCAACUCCGGGUGACAUAGGUGGACGCAUGUCUUCCUGUGUGCCUCACAUACCUUCUCAUUAUCCCGUUGGAGAUCUUAUGAACACCAUCCGAGCUCUGGAUGACGAUGCGACGCUCGAAAAUGAAGAGGAGGAAGAAUCGUUUUCGGAUGAGGAGGAAUAACCAGAGGGAGAAGAGGACGAUGAUGAGUGAUGUGGCAUGAUUGUUGAUGUGCCAUUUGUUUGUGCAAACUUUUAUUUGUCAUGAACUUGGUUGGGUGAUUUUGAACUAUGCCGUGUAAGUGAACUAUGCUAUGUCUUUGUUUUGCAUAUUUGUUUAAUGUUUGAAACAUCACCAUAUUGUCAAAUGUACAUGUGAAAAUCAUAUUUGCAAGCCUCGGCUGCUCGUGCGCUUUGUAAAUUAGCGCGCCUUCUGAAGCUGCUCGCGCGUGCCAUAUUUUACUGCGGCUGCUUGAGCCAGCGCCCUACUUCAUGCAAAAAAACACUAUUUUGACGUUGUAAAAAAGUUUUUGCGCGUCGUGCGGUUGCGCACCUGUUAGAGAUGCUCUUAGAAUCGUGUUUUUACGGCGCCUAUGUGAUGCCCUAUUUUGCAAGAACUUGGUGUUGCGGUCGCCCCUCUGGCCGCUGCAUCACUUCUUCCCUGUCGUAGAGCUCAUGCAGGUCUUUUUCAAGCCACACCGAACCGAAAUCAGUACGUACGUGCCGAGUUCUGCAUGUGCUUGGACACAUCUUUUAACCUGCUACAAGGAGGCCCAUGAGCCCACUGUUCCUUGCGUCGUGCAUGCAUGUCCCAUGCAUGAUGUAGCAGCGGGAUCCUAUACAGCACGUAGGUCGCUGCUAGCAACAUAGCAUGCAACCCCCCCUCCCCUGGCCGGGCUCCCCGUUCAGCGUAUCUGCCGGUCCGUUUGCGGUUUAUUUUGCCACCGGUUUUCAGAAGGUUCCAGAACAUUUCCAGAACCGUUUUUUUAUGUCUUCUAUACUGUUUUUUCGUUUUUCUUUUCUUUUAAUUUUUUUUUGAAUUUGGUUAACAUUUUUUAAUUCCGUCAGCAUUUAUCAUGUCGUGAACAUUUUUUUUCAAAUCAUCAACAAUUUUUGAAUUCACCAACAUUUCACAAGUUGUAACUAUAUUGAAAUCCUGAAUUAGCCUUACAAUGGAAAACAAUUUAAAAAAAGCAAAAAAAAAAACUAGAUGCUUCCGCUUUCCCUACACACACAUGGGCCAGCCCAUGAGUCGGCGCGGGGGAGCGGGGGUUACGCGCUACGUCUUUCGCUGGCGCGUACAGCGCUAAAUGGGAUGUCUCGGUGUAGCAUCUCAUUGAAUCCCGGAUGCAUGGUCCGACCAUCUCUUCAAACCGAAAGCUGCCCAUAUGGUCCAUCAUCCUGGCGUCUGAAAUACUUUUGGAAAGACAAUUAUGGUUAGUUUUCGGAUAAGUACUCUCGAUAAUCUACAAAUAGGAGAUGUUUUAUUGUAUUUUGAUUACUUUUGGAUAGACAAUCAUUACUAUUAAUAUCAUCCUUCGUAUCUAGAUAAAGUAAGACAAUCUAUAAAUAGAAGAUUUUUUAUUCUGUUUUGUUAAGUUUGGAUAGACAAUUAUUAUUAGUAUUAGCCUUGGUAUCUAGAUAAAUAUAAGGCAAUCUAUAAAUAGAAGUUUUUUAUUCUGUUUUGACUACGUUUGGAUAAACAAUUAUUAUUAUUAGUAUCAUCCUUCGUAUCUAAAUAAAUAUAAGACAAUCUACAAACAGAAGAAUUUUCAUUCUGUAGACAAUUAUUAUUAUUAUUAGUUCAGGAUAAAUACAUAUGAAAUGCCGUGUGAUAAAUGUGGUAAACGAUCGAUCCACACAUGAGGAAUAUAUCUAGACAUGUUUUAGUGUUAGAUACGUAAAUACCUUCGUAUUUAAUAAGUCUAAGCCAAUUUUUUGGGACGGAGGUAACAUAUAAAGAGGGGUCUUGCCCUCAUGGGCAGAGCAGCACGGAGAGCAAAGUUGGCUUCCCUACGCAACGAUAACAAGGGUAGCUACCUCGCAAACCUGUGUGCACUCUGCAAGCAGCAGUCUCCAAAAUGCUGGCUUGCUGCUGCUUGGUUGUGUCCCAGCUGCUCAUCGUAAUAACACUCAUAUACCUUGUCAUUACCAAGAGCAAGGUCCGCUGUGACACGUGCUCAUCAGCGACGGUGCCGCUUCCACUUCCGCCGGGGCCAUGUCCGUGGCCAGUGGUGGGUAACCUGCCCGAGAUGGUGGUCAACAAGCCGGCAUUCCGUUGGAUCCAUCGCGUGAUGAAGGAUAUGGGCACCGACAUCGCCUGCUUCCGCCUCGGCGGCGUCCACGUCGUCCCGAUCACAUGUCCCAAGAUCGCAAGGGAGGUGCUCAAGAAGCAGGACAAAAACUUCUCGUCCCGCCCACUCACCUUCGCCUCCGGCGUCAUCAGCAGCGGGUACAAGGACGCCGUGCUCUCGCCGUUCGGUGACCAGUGGAUGAAGAUGCGCAAGGUGCUCACCUCUGAGAUCAUCUGCCCCUCCCGUCACAAGUGGCUCCACGACAAGCGCGCCGAUGAAGCUGACAACUUGACGCGCUACAUCUACAACCUCACUGCCGGGGGGUUGUCAUCUUCAACGUCGGGACUAGCCAACGUCAAUGUCAGGCACGUCGCGCGGCAUUACUGCGGCAACAUCAUCCGCCGGCUUGUCUUCGGCCAACGGUACUUCGGGGAGCCUCAGCCGGACGGCGGGCCGGGGCCAAUGGAGGUGGAGCACAUGGACGCUUCCUUCGCCCUCCUAGGGUUCACCUUCACGUUCUGCGUCAGCGACUACCUCCCGUGUCUACUUGGCCUAGAUCUCGACGGCCACGAGAAAAUUAUUAAGGAGGCCAACACAAAAGUGGAUAGACUGCACGACGUGGUCAUCGAAGAGCGUUGGAGGCAGUGGAACAGCGGCGAGAGGCAGGACGGGGUCCAGGACUUCCUUGACGUUCUCAUCACGCUCGCCGACGGUGACGGCAAGCCGUUGCUCAGCAUCGAUGAGGUCAAAGCACAAUCCAAGGUAAGCAAAAUAUUAAUUAAUGAGAAAUUUUAAGAUGGUUCAAGGGCCUAGAUUGAAUUUAGUACCCAAUUGCCUCAUAGUCCUACAAGGUACUAAUACGUCAUCCAUGAGAAAAGGUAAUAGCUCACACUAUUAAAUACUAGAUCUUAUACCGUAUUUCGCAGGUGUUAGAAAAUGGAAACAAUAGAAUAAGAAAUUAUGAAUUAAUAGUUUAAACAUACCAUUAUUGUAAUUUUCUACCAUUUUGAUGUGAUUUCAACUUAAAUUUUAUUUAAAUUUCCAAUUAUUCAAUGUAAUCUCUCUUUAUGCAAAGGUAUAAAUUGUAAUAACUUACAUUUAUCUCCAUGGAAUGCAUGCAGGGCAUAAUAUUAGCGGCCAUUGAUAACCCGUCAAACGCAGUGGAGUGGGCACUGGCGGAGAUGGUGAACAACCCAGAAUUGCUGGCCAAGGCGGUGGAGGAAAUGGACCGGGUGGUCGGUCACGAGCGACUGGUGCAAGAGUCGGACAUCAUGCAGCUCAACUAUCUCAAGGCAUGCAUACGUGAGGCAUUCCGCCUCCACCCAAUCGCUCCCUUCAACCUGCCGCACGUCGCGAUUGCCGACACCAUUGUUGCGGGCUACCACGUGCCCAAGGGUAGCAACGUCAUCCUCAGCCGGCUGGCCCUGGGCCGGAACCCCACCGUCUGGGAUGAACCGCUCCGCUUCAAGCCGGAGCGCCAUAUGGGAGACAACAUCAAUGUGGUGCUUACUGAGAGCGAAUUGCGGUUCAUCUCCUUCAGCACCGGACGACGGGGAUGCAUCGCGGCAUCACUAGGAACAACCAUGAGUGUCAUGCUCUUUGGCAGGCUCCUGCAUGGCUUCACCUGGACCAAACCGGCUGGGGUGUCGGCCAUCAAUCUCAGCGAGUCCAAGCGCAACCUCUUUAUAGAGAAGCCGCUAGUGCUACAUGCUGAGCCACGUCUUCCAGUGCACCUCUACCCUCUCAUGCAUUGUUGAGCAAAUAACGAGCUAUGAAUCACCGAUAUGGCGAGUAUGCUAGCUAUUUUUUUGAUGAAUCUAUAUUUACUAAUAAAGGAAGGAAAUAUUCUUUUUUUC
rnacentral:lncRNA from 1 species